GACGGACGCUGGCGGCGUGCUUAACACAUGCAAGUCGUACGGUAAGGCCCUUUCGGGGGUACACGAGUGGCGAACGGGUGAGUAACACGUGAGUAACCUGCCCACAACUUUGGGAUAACGCUAGGAAACUGGUGCUAAUACUGGAUAUGUGCCCCUGCUGCAUGGUGGGGGUUGGAAAGCUCCGGCGGUUGUGGAUGGACUCGCGGCCUAUCAGCUUGUUGGUGGGGUAGUGGCCUACCAAGGCGGCGACGGGUAGCCGGCCCGAGAGGGUGACCGGCCACAUUGGGACUGAGAUACGGCCCAGACUCCUACGGGAGGCAGCAGUGGGGAAUAUUGCACAAUGGGCGCAAGCCUGAUGCAGCAACGCCGCGUGCGGGAUGACGGCCUUCGGGUUGUAAACCGCUUUCAGCAGGGACGAAGCUUUUUGUGACGGUACCUGCAGAAGAAGCACCGGCUAACUACGUG
rnacentral:rRNA from 1 species